GGGAGUGGGCCCUGGGGGGGCGGGGAGGGUGGUGUCCAGGGGAAGUGGGUGUGGGUCCCACAGUCUUGGGCCCAAAUUCCAAAGGGACCCCCUCCCCCCAGCCGUCUUCCUUCCCCUUCCUUUUCUUCUCUCCCUCCCCACCUGCCCACUCACUUCUAGGAGCCACCUGGUCUGGAUUGCAGCUGCCUGAAGACGGUGGUCCCUGGAGCCUGGGAUGGGGGGCACAGUCCCAGGCCCUCCAGCUGCCCCGACCCCAGGCCUCUUUGUGCAAGGGAGAGCCCUGCCUGGUGGAGGACUCCGUUUGCCUAAUGCCAGAAAAUUCAUCUCCAUGGCAACGCCUUAGGAAGCUGCAGCCUCGAGAUUGUAACUCCCAAGCAAUGAAGACAAUAAAUGGAUUUUUCACAAAACA